rnacentral:rRNA from 1 species
AGUGAACGCUGGCGGUAGGCCUAACACAUGCAAGUCGAACGGCAGCACAGUAAGAGCUUGCUCUUACGGGUGGCGAGUGGCGGACGGGUGAGGAAUACAUCGGAAUCUACUUUUUCGUGGGGGAUAACGUAGGGAAACUUACGCUAAUACCGCAUACGACCUACGGGUGAAAGCAGUGGAUCUUCGGACCUUGCGCGAUUGAAUGAGCCGCUGUCGUAUUAGCUAGUUGGCGGGGUAAAGGCCCACCAAGGGGACGAUCCGUAGCUGGUCUGAGAGGAUGGUCAGCCACAGUGGAAAGUAGACAGCGUCCAGACUACUACGGGAGGCAGCAGUGGGGAAUAUUGGACAAUGGGCGCAGGCCUGAUCCAGCCAUACCGCGUGGGUGAAGAAGGCCUUCGGGUUGUAAAGCCCUUUUGUUGGGAAAGAAAAGCAGCAGGUUAAUACCCCGCUGUUCUGACGGUACUCAAAGAAUAAGCACCGGCUAACUUCGUG